rnacentral:tRNA from 4 species
GGAGAGAUGGCAGAGUGGUCGAUUGUGGCGGUCUCGAAAACCGUUGUACCUUCGGGUACCGGGGGUUCGAAUCCCCCUCUCUCCG